CACUGAAAGCUGACAGAACAUCCUGCUCUACUGAGAGUAACCAGAGCCUCCUCCUGUGUUCCGAGGAGUCCCUCAGCCGGUCAUACAAGCGUUCAACUACAGCCAAGGGAAGCCAGUUUUAAGUCCCAAAUUGUCCGAAGCCUUUCUCGUUAGUCUAUUAAUGCCAUCUGUGAAGCAAAGUCAAUGAAGGAGGCAACAUUUUUAAAAGGGUCUGUUGCCAUGUUUUCAAUUUUUAUUUAAAAAAAGAACUAUGUAUGAAUGCAAUAUUUCUUUCUGUUAAGAUUUCUUAGUUUGAGUCAACAACUGUCACUUAUCUCCUUACUGUAAUGAUAACAACAUCUGGAGAUUGGAAAGGGAAGUUCCGAAAGUGGUUUUCAUUAGAGAAUGGGUCGUUUUUGAUUUCCCACUUGGCCAUAAAGGGAAUAGUAAUAUACAAACGAGCAAGCACUGUAAAGGUUUUCCAACCCCUCGUCGAAAAAUUAGAGUUUAACCUUUUUCUUUUUCUAUUUUAUUUUUGUUGUGUGUUCUGUGUGUUUUGUAUAUAGUAAUAACUAUGUUAGUCUUUGUGAUUUUUUUUCCCGUUUGUUUUGUUUGCCAAAGUUUUUUUUGUUUGAAAAAGAUAUUUAUACAUCAAAAGAAGUCUUAAGGCAGCUUCACAGUAUAGUGUCACUGAUUCUAUGUUUACUGCAUAAUCAAAGAUCUCAUCAAUUUUAGCUUGGAGAGUUUGGAUAUUACAAAAGGGAUAUGUAUAAAAUAUCCAUAUAAAUAUUGUGUGUAUGUAUCGCUUGAAUUUGUACAUUGCUUCUAUCCCUGUCAUUCAUGUGUUUAAUAUUGUGAAAAAAGUGCCGAUUUGAUUAGAUUUUUUUGUCUGCCAUUAUUGUCCUUUAAUGUGAUUUUUAGAUUUUUUUUUUUAUUUUUAUGUUGUCUUGUGCAUAAAACCAUUCUCCCAUUUAUAUUUCAUCGAACAAAAGCCAUUGUCUAUUUUUGUAUCAUUUGUAAGUUAAUGAAAAUGUUCAUGUUUUUUUCCCUUUUAUGUUGAAUUUGUUUUUCAUAUGGCAAAAGUAGUGCAUUAUUCUCAUAGUAUUAGUUAUAUGGAUUUUGAGAAUAGAUAAGUAUAUCAUAUGAAUAUCUUUUUUUGUUUGUUUGUUUUGCUUUUUUUCAUAAACUAAUACUGUUAAAACCGUACAAUAUGCAUGGAUCUUAUCCUCCUGGAGCUGCAUUUGUGUGCAGGAAGACCAUUUUGGCAGUUAAAGAUAAUAAUAAUAUUGAUAAUGAUAAUAAUAAUAGUAGUAGUAGUAGUAUGAAGAUUUUCUGGUUUUCUUUUAUCAUCUCUUUUUCUUGUUUCCAUUUUUGCGUUAUUUAAAUCGGCAUCUUAGUUUCCCCCCCACACCAUCUCCUCUGUCCCAGGGAGUGGCGGAGUCAGAUCCCAUCCUGAGUCCCCCGCAGCCCGGGCCAGUCGUGUCAGUCUCAACCAGCAGUUUAGAUGCCUUAACAAUGCAAACCCGCGCCAUCGUCCACCGUGUGCCACCGUGUUCUCUCACCCACUCUCUGUCACACGCCACCCAUGGAAUGCCCCAGAGGGGAGAACGAAGGCAGUGGCACCCAACUUUUUUUGGGUGGAUUUCCUUCUCAGUUAAUUAGCGGCAGUUCAGUUUGAAGAGCAGGACUAAGUGUUUAGAUGCACCAGCAUUUAACACACUGGAUUUCACAGACAUGUUUAGUUACACUUCUGAAACCCCAUGUUAUUUACAUAACUGG
ensembl:lncRNA